CAGGCGGUGGCCACUACUGCUCAUUUAUUAGGGCGUCCACCACGUUCGGUCCGUCCAGAUAUGGAAGGCCACUCUCCCUUUCCUUUUUAUUUUUUACUUUUGUUUCUUAAUCAAGAUUGAUCGGUAUUUAUUGAGAAACAAGAUUGAUCGGUAUUUAUUGAGAAACAAGAUUGAUCGGUAGUCGUUGGAAAUCAAGAUCGAUCCGUACUGUGGCGGUUAUCUUUUUUUUCCCGCCUUUUUUAAAUUUCAUAAGCUUCGGUUCUCAGGCCCUAAUCUGACUCUGUAAGGUGCACGCCCUGUUUUUCCUCCUCCUCCUGUUUCCUCUCUUUUUUCCUUGGGAGAGCUUUUUUCCGAGAGUCUCGUGUGGCGUUUUCCGGGAUCGAAGGUUCGAAGAGGAAGACGAAGCAUUAGGGUUUCAGUCAACCAAAAUCACCCUCCAGCAGCAGGAAGUCCGGCUCCAAUCCGUCGGAAACGCCGGUCUCUAGCCGACUGGGCCUGGGGUUCAUCGAACGCCGCCGGAUAAGGGUUUCACAUAUCUAGUAAUUCUCCACGGGUUUCGACCUCGAGCCUGAGCAGGGGUUCCCUACUGCUCCACCUGCUCCUCCGCUUCCUCCGUUCUCCGUUUCACCCGCCUGCAGCCCCUCAGCUGGUGCUUUCGCCGGUGCGAAGCUACUGCAACUGCGCGGCCGCUUUCUAAGCUUCGGUUCUCGUCUCUCAGGCUGUAAGUUAGGAUUCUCGGUUCCCUUUCGUUAUUUUGCUGAUUUUUUUUGGGAGAUGGAGGUCGCCGAGAUUUCUCCUCUUCGGAUGCUGUUGCUCUCGCAAAUGGCUGCUUUCUUGGUGGAAGCUAUCGCUGUAGAGGCGGUGCUCGUCGCCCAGAAGUCAGUUUACUUCUACCGGGUUGGGAAAUUGGGGAUUCUUCCAUUUCUGCAAGCAAAGUCCUUAAUAAAUG